GACGAACGCUGGCGGCGUGCUUAACACAUGCAAGUCGAACGGAAAGGCCCUGCUUGCAGGGUACUCGAGUGGCGAACGGGUGAGUAACACGUGGGUGAUCUGCCCUGCACUUCGGGAUAAGCUUGGGAAACUGGGUCUAAUACCGGAUAGGAGCCAUCUUUAGUGUGGUGGUUGGAAAGUUUUUUCGGUGUAGGAUGAGCUCGCGGCCUAUCAGCUUGUUGGUGGGGUAAUGGCCUACCAAGGCGGCGACGGGUAGCCGGCCUGAGAGGGUGUACGGCCACAUUGGGACUGAGAUACGGCCCAGAAUCCUACGGGAGGCAGCAGUGGGGAAUAUUGCACAAUGGGCGCAAGCCUGAUGCAGCGACGCCGCGUGGGGGAUGAAGGCCUUCGGGUUGUAAACUCCUUUCGCUAGGGACGAAGCUUUGUUGUGACGGUACCUAGAUAAGAAGCACCGGCUAACUACGUG
rnacentral:rRNA from 1 species